AAAAAACAAAAAAAAAAUUUCCUUUUCUCUCAAGCAGGCCCAGAAUCUGGCCAAACUCCGGCGAGUGGCCACUGCGCCGGCCGCCAGUUGCCGGCACCGGCGCCGCCGUUCACGGCGGCGGGGAGUAAAAAAUCUCGCCUUUUUUAAACUGUUUUUAGAUCCCGUUCAAUAGUCAAACUGCUUUGGCUCAAAAGGAUGACCCUUGGCCCCUUCUCCUCUCGGAUCCGAUGUUCUUGAAGGAGGAGAGCCCUCCGACGGUGAACCCGCAAGGCAAAUCAGGUAAGCCCGUUCCCCUUUUACUUCUUAUUUAUUAUGCUUAAAAAAAAACAAACAGAAAGAGCAAACAAGGAAAAAAAAAACCGAAUCUAAGGGAAAAAAAAACCUCCGUUUUGUAUUUUAUUUUUUCAAAUCUUUUUUCUUCGUAUUUUCCUCUCUAUUUUUGUAUGUCUUUACACUCAAGACCCCCUUUUCAGAUCUCCCCCCACGGCUUUUAAAUAGUCGAAAAUAACAACAAAAUAAGCAACAAAAUCAUAUCUCCCUUCAAUAUUGGUUGCGAUUUUUGCUACUACUCUGCUAUUGCUGCGCCAUAUGCUUCUUUUUCGCAGGUGUGGUGGCUCUUGAGUGCGUGCGACGCGUGGGAGCGACAAGCGCGAUGUGCGGCGCUUGCGGAGGGGUGGUGCGCAGGGUGAUGCAGCGCUGAAGCAGAAAGGGCUAGGGUUUCUGGACUGGGCUAGGGUUAAUGUAAUUGGGCUAAAUUUUUGGGUUUAGUCUGUAGAUGGGUAAUUGGGUCUGCUAUGUUUUUAUUUUAUAUGGGCCUGGGCAGAAAAAUUGGGUAUUACAAUAUAUAUUAAAAAAAACUGUUGUAUGUUUCUUAUUUAUUUAUUUUAAACUGUUAUUAUUAUUCAUUUUAAGUUUUUAUAUACUGUUUAUUUAAAGCCUUUUA
rnacentral:lncRNA from 1 species